UACGGAGGGAGCUAGCGUUAUUCGGAAUUACUGGGCGUAAAGCGCACGUAGGCGGCUUUGUAAGUUAGAGGUGAAAGCCUGGAGCUCAACUCCAGAAUUGCCUUUGAUACUGCAUGGCUUGAAUCCAGGAGAGGUGAGUGGAAUUCCGAGUGUAGAGGUGAAAUUCGUAGAUAUUCGGAAGAACACCAGUGGCGAAGGCGGCUCACUGGAGCUGGUAUUGACGCGUGAGGUGCGAAAGCGUGGGGAGCAAACAGG
rnacentral:rRNA from 1 species